CAGCACCUCAAGUGGUCAGGAUGAUUAUUGGGCCUAAAGCAUCCGUAGCCGGCGCUGUAAGUUUUCGGUUAAAUCUGUACGCUCAACGUACAGGCUGCCGGGAAUACUGCAGCGCUGGGGAGUGGGAGAGGUAGACGGUACUCGGUAGGAAGGGGUAAAAUCCUUUGAUCUAUUGAUGACCACCUGUGGCGAAGGCGGUCUACCAGAACACGUCCGACGGUGAGGGAUGAAAGCUGGGGGAGCAAACCGGAUUAGAUACCCGAGUAGUCC
rnacentral:rRNA from 1 species